rnacentral:rRNA from 1 species
GUAGGUGGCAAGCGUUGUCCGGAAUUAUUGGGCGUAAAGCGCGCGCAGGCGGUUCUUUAAGUCCGAUGUGAAAGCCCACGGCUCAACCGUGGAGGGUCAUUGGAAACUGGAGAACUUGAGUACAGAAGAGGAAAGCGGAAUUCCACGUGUAGCGGUGAAAUGCGUAGAGAUGUGGAGGAACACCAGUGGCGAAGGCGGCUUUCUGGUCUGUAACUGACGCUGAGGCGCGAAAGCGUGGGGAGCAAACAGGGAUUAGAUACCCUGGUAGUCCACGCCGUAAACGAUGAGUGCUAAGUGUUAGGGGGUUUCCCGCCCCCUUAGUGCUGCAGCUAACGCAUUAAGCACUCCGCCUGGGGAGUACGGCCGCAAGGCUG